AUGACGGCGGGUCAGCCCCUCCGCGCCGACCCCCAGCAGCGCCGCCACAGCCCGCCGGCCCUCCACCCCGCCGUGGUGCCGUCCUACCCGCCCCCGGAGUCCGGCAACGACGAGUCCUGGGUCUGGUCCCAGAUCAAGGCCGAGGCGCGCCGCGACGCCGACGCCGAGCCGGCGCUCGCGUCCUUCCUCUACGCCACCGUGCUCUCCCACCCCUCGCUCGAGCGCUCCCUCUCCUUCCACCUCGCCAACAAGCUCUGCUCCUCCACCCUCCUCUCCACGCUCCUCUACGACCUCUUCGUCGGCUCCCUCGCCGCGCACCCCACCAUCCGCGCCGCCGCCGUCGCCGACCUCCUCGCCGUGCGCUCCCGGGACCCCGCCUGCGCCGGCUUCUCCCACUGCCUCCUCAACUACAAGGGCUUCCUCGCCGUCCAGGCCCACCGCGUCGCGCACGUCCUCUGGGCGCAGAACCGCCGCGCCCUCGCGCUCGCGCUCCAGUCCCGGGUCGCCGAGGUCUUCGCCGUCGACAUCCACCCGGCCGCCGCCAUCGGAAAGGGCGUCCUCCUGGACCACGCCACCGGCGUGGUCAUCGGCGAGACGGCCGUCGUCGGCGACAACGUCUCCAUCCUCCACCACGUCACGCUGGGCGGGACCGGCAAGGCGGUGGGCGACCGGCACCCCAAGAUCGGGGACGGCGUUCUGAUUGGCGCCGGGGCGACGAUCCUGGGCAACGUGUUGAUUGGCGCCGGGGCCAAGAUCGGUGCCGGGUCGGUGGUGCUCAUCGAUGUGCCGCCGAGGAGCACCGCGGUGGGGAACCCCGCGAGGCUGAUCGGCGGGAAGAAGGGGGACGACAUGCCUGGGGAGUCCAUGGACCAUACCUCCUUCAUACAGCAGUGGUCAGACUACACCAUUUGA
rnacentral:rRNA from 1 species